CAGGAUGAACGCUGGCGGCGUGCCUAAUACAUGCAAGUCGAACGAGGUAGCAAUACCGAGUGGCGAACGGGUGAGUAACACGUAGGUAACCUGCCCUUAAGCUUGGGAUACCCAGAGGAAACUUUGGCUAAUACCGGAUAACAACAGAGAAGGCAUCUUCUUUGCUUGAAAGGCCCCUUCAAGGGUCACUUAAGGAUGGACCUGCGGCGCAUUAGCUAGUUGGUGAGAUAACAGCCCACCAAGGCGACGAUCAGUAGCCGACCUGAGAGGGUAAUCGGCCACAUUGGAACUGAGACACGGUCCAAACUCCUACGGGAGGCAGCAGUGGGGAAUAUUGCACAAUGGGCGCAAGCCUGAUGCAAGCAACGCCGCGUGAGUGAAGAAGGUCUUCGGAUCGUAAAGCUCUGUCCUCAGGGACGAAGAAGUGACGGUACCUGAGGAGGAAGCCCCGGCUAACUACGUGCCAGCCGCUGC
rnacentral:rRNA from 1 species